rnacentral:lncRNA from 1 species
AAGUGUUUGGUGCAGGCUUGGCACAGAUUAAGUGCUCCACAAUUGCCAGAGAUGAUUAUGGAGGUGCUAGUGUAGCCAUCUUCACAAAGCAGCUUGGGAAGAUCCUAUGAUACUGAGCCAUCACUGAGAACACUAUUCGCAGAAAAAGGAAGACUCAUCUGGGUACCUCACAGCAUUUCAUCCCUGGCGAGAAGAUUAAUGUCCUCACAACAAAAGAUGACUUUCGGAGCAGAACCUGCCCAAUAACCAGAAGUGGCAAGUAAAAGAGGCACGGUGCUGACCUCUCUCAGUGACAUGAACAAGAAGCAAGUGGAGGAGCCUUUCGUUCUGCUUAGAAAGAGCGCAGACCUCUGGGGCAGGAAGCGCCCGGCUCCGCUCACUUCUCUGAGACCCAUUGCGAAAGCACUAACGUUCAAAGCCACCUACUACCAAACGAUUUGAAGGACAAUCCCCUAACCCUAAGUGACUUUUUUUCCUCCUGAAUUGGCUAAAACUUUAAUCAACAUACUAAUUAAAGAAUGUCAAAGCAUUAGGCUGGAUCGGACCCAUGUCUCAGCCCACCAGGGGGUCAGCCGACAACCAAGAAGCUUGGAUGUGUCGUGGAAGUGACUGUUGGUGCCCCUCAGGGCCCUCACCUCCCACCUACAUUUCACAGUCUUCGAGGAUCUUCC